rnacentral:rRNA from 1 species
GCAAUCAUACCAGCACUAAUGCACCGGAUCCCAUCAGAACUCCGAAGUUAAGCGUGCUUGGGCGAGAGUAGUACUAGGAUGGGUGACCCCCUGGGAAGUCCUCGUGUUGCACCCC